GCUGGGCAUGGUGGUGCAUUCCUGUAAUCCCAGCAGCUCAGGAGGCUGAGUCAGGAGGAGUAUCUCAAGUUCCCAGCCAGCCUCAGCAAUGGUGAGGCACUUAACAACUCAAUGAGACCCUGUCUCUA
rnacentral:sRNA from 1 species